GCUGGGUGUGGUAGCACAUGCCUGUAAUCCCAGUGGUUUGGGAGGCUGAGGCAGGAGGAUCACUAGUUCAAAGUCAGCCUUAGCAUCUUAGUGAGUCUCUGUCUCAA
rnacentral:sRNA from 1 species